GCCCCCCUCCUCUCUCCUCCUUGCUCCUGGCCGCUGCCCAUGUCAGGUGGAAGACAGAAGCACAGUGGUGCCUCUCCCCAACUCGUCUCUUCCCUCCCCUCUGUCACUGAAUACACAGCAACACAGCAAUCUUAAGCGUCAGAUAGGGGACACAGGAAGUCACAUGAUAUACACACGUGACUGUGCACUGUCUGACUCUGGACUCUGGAGGAGCAAGCUGUCGUGUGAAGAGGAACAGCCAGCCAGUGUAGCAGCCUGCAGCCCUAGUAGCCAGCCACAGAGGAGCUGACUGAGGUUGCUGUAUUGUAUGAUUUGGACCUUAUAUCUUUCUUUUGUCGAAGAAGGACUGUUUUUGGUUCCUUAUUGAAGCCAAGUUUCCUUUUUUUUCUGAGCAGAGCAAGCACAAUGGCAAGCAGCGGGUCGAAGGCCGCCAAUUUCUAGGCCAGACCAAUCCCCUUCUCCGCCCCCUCCCCUUCUGUGGCCCAAUCCCCCUCUCCGCCCCCUCCCCAUCUCUUUCCCAAUCCCCUUCUCCGCCCCACUCCCCCUCUCUUUCACAAUCCCCUUCUCCGCCCCCCUCCCCCUCUGUGGCCCAAUCCCCCUCUCCGCCCCCCUCCCCCUCUCUUUCCCAAUCCCCUUCUCCGCCCCACUCCCCCUCUCUUUCCCAAACCCCCUCUCU